CCAGCUUGUGUCAAUUCCUGACAUGUUGCUAUAUGUGCAGAUAUCUCCUAGGUCAAGAAGCUAUGCAACUGGUAUUUCAAAUGGCUGUCGAGUUGCCAAUCUUCUUGAAUGAUAAAAGGUUGUUAUCCACAUAAGUAAAAGCACCUGCCCAAGCAAGGCAAAUGGUUCUCAGCCAAAGCCAAAGGUUGCUGGUGUUGAUUGGAAUUUUAACAGUUAGGGAGGAAUUUACAUAUAUAGAAAGUGCUAUCUAGCAACAGGAGUCUAGUGCUUUUCGUUGCCCAUAGUUGAUCAGCUUGACCUAGAAGCAAGUAAAAUAUGUUCAAGAACACAUUCCAAUCUCGGUUUCUCUCCAUUCCAUGUAGCCUUUUGAGCAAACCUUUGCAGAUAUAGGAUAAAGAAGAAGUAUGAUGCUGACCCAGCGGCAAAGAUAGCUGGUGCAACUGUCCUGGGCAUCCAAGUUGGGUGUGGAUUGCAUUCAGGAGAUGAAUCUAGAGCUAAUGUUGCACAAGAUAAUGAACUUGUCCAUCAGAAUCCUCAAGCAUAUGCUACACAAGAUGGAAAUUGGAUUGCUCGUAUUGCAGCAUGACUUGUGGGUGAGGAUUGAACACAAUCUUGUAUACCUUAUGAAAUUGGAAAGCUUAGUUCAAUGAAAUGUUUAAAUGCUUGUAAUGUUGUAUAUGGUGAA